AUUGAACGCUGGCGGCAUGCCUUACACAUGCAAGUCGAACGGCAGCACGGGUGCUUGCACCUGGUGGCGAGUGGCGAACGGGUGAGUAAUACAUCGGAACAUGUCCUGUAGUGGGGGAUAGCCCGGCGAAAGCCGGAUUAAUACCGCAUACGAUCUACGGAUGAAAGCGGGGGACCUUCGGGCCUCGCGCUAUAGGGUUGGCCGAUGGCUGAUUAGCUAGUUGGUGGGGUAAAGGCCUACCAAGGCGACGAUCAGUAGCUGGUCUGAGAGGACGACCAGCCACACGGGGCUUGGGACACGGCCCAAACCCCGACGGGAGGCAGAAGUGGGAAAUUUUGGACAAUGGGCGAAGGCCUGUUCCAGCAAGGCCGCGUUGGUGAAGAAGGCCUUCGGGUUGUAAAGCACUUUUGUCGGGAAAGAAAUCCUUGGCCCUAAUACGGUCGGGGAUGACGGUACCGGAAGAAUAAGCACCGGCUAACUACGUG
rnacentral:rRNA from 1 species